UUGGGGUAUUCGGGCCCGAAGUUUACAUGGUGCAACAAGCAAGAUCCCAAUAGCAAUGUUUGAUGUCGUCUUGACCGUGUUGUGGCUAAUGCUGCGUUCAACAGCCUCUUUUGUGAUUGCAGCGUGGAGAAUGUCAUUGCUACCACGUCCGAUCAUUACCCCAUCCGUAUUUCUCUGGAUAUUCUGUCCCAGCAGCGCCAUUCGACUCCGGUACAACACGGUUUCAGGUUCGAAGCUAUGUGGCUGCGGGCAUCUGACUAUAAAGAAACUCUCGAACAUGCGUGGUCCACUGGAAGGGCUGGGCUUUCUUCUCUGAGUUCUACUUGGGAAAACUUGAAAAGUGUGGCAUCCUCUCUUCGUACAUGGAGCAGGGAGUCUUUUGGCUCCAUUCGCAAGCAUAUUGGGAAGAUGGAACGCCGUCUGGCGUCUAUCAGGUCCUCUCCGCCUUCCCCAGCUUCCUUAUCUAAAGAGCGACAUAUCGAGGCUCAACUCUGUGAGCUGUUUGAACGGGAGGAAACCAUGGAAAGGCAGCGUUCACGGGUGGAUUGGCUCAAAUCAGGUGAUCGUAAUACAGAGUUCUUCCAGGCCAGAGCGUCGGCUAGGCGAAGGACUAACAGGAUCCAUUCGCUCCUUCGGGAGGAUGGUUCGGCUUGUACCUCUCAAGGGCAGAUCAAGGGCAUGGUUCAAUCCUUCUAUGAAGAUCUCUUCACGUCUGAACCCCAACCGUCUGCGGAUGAGGUGGUGCGGGCUAUCCCAGGCAAGGUAACUAGAGAGAUGAAUUCGGAUCCGUGCAGGCCCUACUCAGACGACGAGAUUAAGUCGGCGCUGUUUCAGAUGGGUCCUACCAAGGCUCCCAGACCGGACGGUUUCCCUGCCCUCUUUUAUCAGACUCAUUGGGAGUUCUUGGGGGAGGACAUCUGUCAGGAGGUUCAGGGUUUCUUGGAGGGGAGGCCGAUUCCAGAGGGUUUUUGUGAUUCCAUCAUUGUUUUGAUUCCAAAGACUGUCAAGCCCAAACACUUGAACUUCCGUCCCAUCAGCCUCUGUAAUGUGCUCUACAAAAUUGCUUCCAAAGUCUUAGCUAACAGACUGAAGGCCAUUCUGCCUGUGGUGGUGUCUGAGACUCAAAGUGCCUUCGUCCCCGGCAGGUUGAUCACGGACAAUGCAUUGAUUGCCUAUGAAUGCCUUCACACAAUCAGGAAGCAAUGCGUGAAGAAACCUUUCUUUGCUCUCAAGAUUGACAUGAUGAAGGCCUAUGAUCGUGUGGAGUGGAGUUAUCUCCAUUAA
rnacentral:rRNA from 1 species